rnacentral:rRNA from 1 species
UGCGCAGGCGGGGAAAUAAGUCAGUGGUGAAAAGCUGCCGCUUAACGGUAGUCUUGCCAAUGAUACUGUUUUUCUUGAGUAUGGUUAAGGUAGGCGGAAUGUGCAGUGUAGCGGUGAAAUGCAUAGAGAUUGCACAGAAGGCCGAUUGCGGAGGCAGCUUACUGAGCCAUAACUGACGCUGAGGCACGAAAGCGUGGGGAUCGAACAGGAUUAGAUACCCUGGUAGUC